rnacentral:rRNA from 1 species
CCUACGGGAGGCAGCAGGAGGGAAUCUGGAACAAUGGGCGAAAGCCUGAUGGAGUAAAGAAGCGGGGGUGAAGAAGGGCGGAGGAGCGGAAACCCCUGUUGUUAGAGAAGAAAGUGCGGGAGAGUAACUGUUCACGUUUCGACGGUAUCUAACCAGAAAGCACCGGCUAACUACGUGCCAGCAGCCGCGGUAAUACGUAGGGGGCAAGCGUUAUCCGGAUUUAUUGGGCGUAAAGGGAGCGCAGGCGGUCUGUUAAGUCUGAUGUGAAAGCCUUCGGCUUAAACGGAGUAGUGCGUUGGAAACUGGUAGACUUGAGUGCAGAAGAGGAGAGUGGAACUCCAUGUGUAGCGGUGAAAUGCGUAGAUAUAUGGAAGAACACCAGUGGCGAAAGCGGCUCUCUGGUCUUUAACUGACGCUGAGGUUCGAAAGCGUGGGUAGCAAACAGGAUUAGAUACCCCGGUAGUC